rnacentral:rRNA from 1 species
UACGAAGGGGGCAAGCGUUGUUCGGAAUUACUGGGCGUAAAGGGCGCGCAGGCGGCUGAUCAAGUCAGAUGUGAAAGCCCCGGGCUCAACCUGGGAAUAGCAUUUGGGACUGGUCGGCUAGAGUUCGGGAGAGGAGAGUGGAAUUCCCAGUGUAGAGGUGAAAUUCGUAGAUAUUGGGAAGAACACCGGUGGCGAAGGCGGCUCUCUGGACCGAUACUGACGCUGAGGCG